rnacentral:rRNA from 1 species
GACGAACGCUGGCGGCGUGCUUAACACAUGCAAGUCGAACGGAAAGGCCCUGCUUUUGUGGGGUGCUCGAGUGGCGAACGCGUGAGUAACACGUAAGUAACCUGCCCUUGACUUUAGGAUCACUUCAGGAAACUGAGGCUAAUACCGGAUAGGAGCUCCUGCUGCAUGGUGGGGGUUGGAAAGUUUAGGCGGAUGGGGAUGGACUGGCGGCUUAUCAGCUUGUUGGUUGGGUAGUGGCUUACCAAGGCUUUGACGGGUAGCCGGGCUGAGAGGGUGACCGGCCACAUUGGGACUGAGAUACGGCCCAGACUCCUACGGGAGGGAGCAGUGGGGAAUAUUGCACAAUGGGCGGAAGCCUGAUGCAGCAACGCCGCGUGGGGGAUGACGGCCUUCGGGUUGUAAACCGCUUUCGCCUGUGACGAAGCGAGAGUGACGGUAAUGGGUAAAGAAGCACCGGCUAACUACGUG